rnacentral:piRNA from 1 species
UAACAGUUUAUCUGUUCACAUAACCCC